CCAAAGGCUCUUUUAAGAGCCCCCCAUAUGGCCACUAAAGAGAGCU
rfam:Apaloderma vittatum contig36339, whole genome shotgun sequence.